CACGUAGGGGGCAAGCGUUGUCCGGAUUUAUUGGGCGUAAAGAGCUCGUAGGCGGCUUAGUAAGUCGGGUGUGAAACCUCCAGGCUCAACCUGGAGACGCCACCCGAUACUGCUGUGGCUAGAGUCCGGUAGGGGGAGCGUGGAAUUCCUGGUGUAGCGGUGAAAUGCGCAGAUAUCAGGAGGAACACCAGCGGCGAAGGGCGGGCGCUCUGGGCCGGUACUGACGCUGAGGAGCGAAAGCGUGGGAGCAAACAGGAUUAGAAA
rnacentral:rRNA from 1 species